GGUAAUGAGUGGAUGUAAUGGGUGUAGUGGAUGGAUGUUUGGAGUUGUAGGUCAACACACUUGCACACACACAUGCUGAUUUCUAGCCUUUAAAUCUUCAAAAACGUCCAUCCUCAUGUCUCCAUGCUUGCACUAUCCAAUCUUGGCUCAAAAAUGCUCUAAAAUGCUCCAAAAUGCACUUUCUUGCCAACUUUGUUAUUAUGACCUACAAACACACGAAAAUAGCUUAAAAUACAUA
rnacentral:lncRNA from 1 species